ACUCCCCCUAUCAGUCAUCCCCCAGCCUUCUCCGCUCCGCCUGGGAUAAGCAUAUCUCUCCCGAGACUGAAGAGAGCCUCCAAGCCAGCACACCAGAGCUCUGCAUCCAGGCCUGGAGCCACCGCAGCUGCUGGGGCCCUGGGAGCAUGAAUAAUAAUGUAAUGAUAACAAAAUAACAGUGUCAGUAGUAAUAAUAAGGAUGGCGAGAACAA